UACGGGGGGGGUAAGCGUUGUUCGGAAUUACUGGGCGUAAGGGGCUCGUAGGCGGCCAACUAAGUCAUACGUGAAAUCCCUCAGCUUAACUGGGGAACUGCGUGUGAUACUGGAUGGCUUGGAUUUGGGAGAGGGAUGCGGAAUUCCAGGUGUAGCGGUGAAAUGCGUAGAUAUCUGGAGGAACACCGGUGGCGAAGGCGGCAUCCUGGACCAAUAUUGACGCUGAGGAGCGAAAGCCAGGGGAGCAAACGGG
rnacentral:rRNA from 1 species